CCUACGGGGGGCUGCAGUGGGGAAUUUUGGACAAUGGGGGCAACCCUGAUCCAGCCAUGCCGCGUGAGUGAAGAAGGCCUUCGGGUUGUAAAGCUCUUUCGGCCGGGAAGAAAUCGUGCGGGCCAAUACCCUGCAUGGAUGACGGUACCGGAAGAAGAAGCACCGGCUAACUACGUGCCAGCAGCCGCGGUAAUACGUAGGGUGCGAGCGUUAAUCGGAAUUACCGCAGGCGACGCGUGCGCAGGCGUGUGAAAUCCCCGGGCUUAACCUGGGAACUGCGUUUGUGACUGUGGUGCUUGAGUGCGGCAGAGGGGGGUGGAAUUCCACGUGUAGCAGUGAAAUGCGUAGAGAUGUGGAGGAACACCGAUGGCGAAGGCAGCCCCCUGGGUCGACACUGACGCUCAUGCACGAAAGCGUGGGGAGCAAACAGGAUUAGAUACCCCAGUAGUC
rnacentral:rRNA from 1 species